UACGUAGGGGGCAAGCGUUGUCCGGAAUCAUUGGGCGUAAAGCGCGCGUAGGCGGCCCGGUAAGUCCGCUCUGAAAGCCCAGGGCUUAACCCUGGAAAGCGGGUGGAUACUGCCGGGCUUGAAUCCGGAAGAGGCGAGUGGAAUUCCUGGUGUAGCGGUGGAAUGCGUAGAGAUCCGGAGGAAGACCGGUGGCGAAGGCGGUCUGCUGGGCAGUUUCUGACACUGAGGCGCGACAGCGUGGGGAGCAAACAGG
rnacentral:rRNA from 1 species